rnacentral:rRNA from 1 species
GAUGAACGCUAGCGGCAGGCCUAAUACAUGCAAGUCGAACGGUAAGGCCCUUUCGGGGGUACACGAGUGGCGGACGGGUGCGUAACGCGUAUGCAACAUACCUUCAAGCGGGGGAUAUGCCAGGGAAGCUUGGUGCAACACCCCAUAGCAUUUCGAGACCGCAUGGUCUUGGGAUUAAAUAUUUAUAGCUUGGAGAUUGGCAUGCGUGACAUUAGCUAGUUGGCGGGGUAACGGCCCACCAAGGCGACGAUGUCUAGCUGGUCUGAGAGGAUGAUCAGCCACACUGGGACUGAGACACGGCCCAGACUCCUACGGGAGGCAGCAGUAGGGAAUAUUGGACAAUGGGGGGAACCCUGAUCCAGCCAUGCCGCGUGAGGGAAGAAGGUCCUACUGGAUUGUAACCUCUUUU